GCUGAGUGCAUGUAGGAGGAGAGAGACGGGGGGAAUGACAUGCAGCAAAGGGUUGCAGGUCGGAAUUGAACCUGC